rnacentral:rRNA from 1 species
UACGUAGGGGGCAAGCGUUGUCCGGAAUCAUUGGGCGUAAAGAGCGUGUAGGCGGCCCGGUAAGUCCGCUGUGAAAGUCCAGGGCUCAACCCUCGGAUGCCGGUGGAUACUGUCGGGCUUGAGUACGGAAGAGGCGAGUGGAAUUCCUGGUGUAGCGGUGAAAUGCGCAGAUAUCAGGAGGAACACCAAUUGCGAAGGCAGCUCGCUGGGACGUUACUGACGCUGAGGAGCGAAAGCGUGGGUAGCAAACAGG